GAAAUGCGAUAAGUAAUACGAAUUGCAGAAUUUAGUGAGUCAUCGAAUCUUUGAACGCACAUUGCGCCCUUUGGCAUUCCGAAGGGCAUGCCUGUCCGAGCGUCAUUAUCAACCGUCAAGCCCGGCUUGCCGUUGAGCCCCGCCCCUGACCGGGCCGGCUCGAAAGACAGCGACGGGGUCGGUCGGACCCGACGUGCAACGAGCUUUUGACAGCACGCGCGGCGGUGCCCGGCGGCCCUGGUCUCCCACCAUCAUCUAUUCAGGUUGACCUCGGAUCAGGUAGGAAUACCCGCUGAACUUAA
rnacentral:misc_RNA from 1 species